UGAAUGUUUCUCCUGAGAUAAAAUAGCCUCUCUCCCUCCCAUCCUAUCCCUCUGCCUUUUGCUGGUUCUGUUUUACUGAUGUGUUCUCGUUCAGAAGAGUAGUAUGCUUUUGAAAGAUAGAUAGAAUAUCCAUGCAUUCCACUUUUUAAAAAUUUCUGCCCUUAUUUUAAACAUAGCUUCCUGUGCCCUAACUACAGCUAUCCAUAAGCUGAUCUUCUGAUUCACCUUGUGAGUGGAUCGUAUUUUCUUGCACGUGUAUAGGCACACACCUACUUGUAACAACUAGACCAUUUCUCAACGAGCAGGGAGAAGCGUAUUUUGCAGAUGGACAGAUCAGUGCUGCUUCACUGGAAAGAGUAUCAUCUUGGAGGACAGAUGUUCUUACCUCUCUGCCUGCACUAGUCCUGCCUGUGUGAGGCUCUGUGUGCCAGAUGGGAGAAGAAAUGAAAUUUUUUUAAAAGAAAAAGCAGGUUGCACCUCAGCAUUUAUGUAUCUUCAAAUAGCCAAAUGCUGAUCCUGAAAUCAGCAGAAGUAAUCAUCUAUAAAAACCCAUCCAAUUACACUGUAGUAGAAGGCGAUACCGAGCAAUCUGCCAGGCAAAGGCCUCUCUAUUGUAAUAUUCAAAAGAAUGAAUUCACAUCAAAUGUGUGAUAUAUAAAAGUUAAUUCCUUAAUAAAGCUAAAUGAAAUAUAAA